GACAGAGGGUGCAAACGUUGCUCGGAAUCACUGGGCGUAAAGGGCGUGUAGGCGGGAAGUAAAGUCAGAUGUGAAAUCCCUGGGCUCAACCCAGGAACUGCAUUUGAAACUCACUUUCUUGAGUACCGGAGAGGAAGGUGGAAUACCUGGUGUAGAGGUGAAAUUCGUAGAUAUCAGGUGGAACACCAGUGGCGAAGGCGGCCUUCUGGACGGUAACUGACGCUGAGACGCGAAAGCGUGGGGGAGCAAACAGG
rnacentral:rRNA from 1 species